UAAGGGUGUAGCAAUCUGGUGAAUGCACCGAACUCAUAAUUCGGCUAAGAUGGGUUCGAUCCCCAUCACCCUUAU
rnacentral:tRNA from 1 species